UUGGACAGCUAGGGAACCGUGUGAGGAGCAAUAUGCUGAACUAAACAAACAUGUAUUGGCAUACAGAGCCAAGGCUGAGGAGCAUAACAUUAUCUUUUUUCUUUCUUUUGUUUUCUGUGCAUACACACUGAAAGGACAGCAAUCGAGUUUAUAAAACGCAUGGGUACCUUGAAAGGUGCUACAUAAAUGGAGCUAUGCACAGCAGAUGAGGGCAUACAGACACCACAGCAGUGUGGAAAUAAUGUGACAGAGGAGAUAGCAGGACCCAUGUAGAAGAGAUGUAAAGGAGCAGCUCCACAAGUGAGACUAUCAUCACCAUCAGACCAGGGCAGCUGCUCGAGGAGAAGCAGGAGGUGGCUCUAGACCCAGAUGGAUACUCAGACUGUCCUCCUACACAACGCCAGGGUGCACAGCAGCUGUCGCUAAGCCUCUCUUCCAACUCAGGAAAGUCAUGCAAUUUGGAUGGACGUGGAUACCGAGUACCUAAUCACAGGGAACUUUCUUAAUUCUGUGGUUAUGGAGAACAUUAUGCGUAUGAGAACAUUAUGUGACUCUUCAGGGAAUUUACCUAAUAUUCAUUUGAUCACCACAUUCCUUCUCUCUAUAUGACUUCAUGUCUUUCAUCUGAAUUCAAAUGAUUCAAGUGAUGUUUUGUUGCGGUAUCUUUGUCCUCACACAGUUUUACCGUUAUUUUAAGACAAAUGUGUUUUUAACAACAAUGAUAUCUUGUCUGUAUGUUGUCACCAUGUCUACAUAGGACACUUUCUACUGUAUGGUCAAAAAUAUGCUCUCAAAAUCCCAUUGCAUGGCCUUAAGUCCUCUCUAAGUCCCUCUUAUUAUGACCGCCGUGCAGCGAAGCGGUUUAGUCAGAUUUUUUUCUUUUUUUUUCUUAUUCGCAU